UACGAAGGGGGCUAGCGUUGCUCGGAAUCACUGGGCGUAAAGGGUGCGUAGGCGGGGCUUUAAGUCAGGGGUGAAAUCCUGGAGCUCAACUCCAGAACUGCCUUUGAUACUGAAGAUCUUGAGUUCGGGAGAGGUGAGUGGAACUGCGAGUGUAGAGGUGAAAUUCGUAGAUAUUCGCAAGAACACCAGUGGCGAAGGCGGCUCACUGGCCCGAUACUGACGCUGAGGCACGAAAGCGUGGGGAGCAAGCAGG
rnacentral:rRNA from 1 species